CACUCCACUCCAUCCAUCUAGCGCCAGUCGCCACCGCUGCACCUCGCACCGGCCAUCCCCCACCCCCUACCUCGCACCGGUCGCCCCGCCCUGUCUCGCGCCGGUCACCGCCGCCAUACCUCGCCCCAGCCAUCGUCCACCCCUUUCUCACGCCGGCCGCUCUGUCUCGUCUCAUGCUAGCUGCCCCCGCCCCAUCUCGCGAUGCGCCGCCCCCACCUUCUGUCGCGGCCGCCAUGCCCACCUCCUGUCGCGGCCGCCGCCCCCACCUCCCGCCGCGGCCAUCGCCCAGCAAGCUAACCAGCCGACCAACUACGGAUAUCAAGCAUGACACCGGCCCGGAUCCACCGCACACCAACGACCCCUUCCCAACGAGUUCCAGCGCCGACCAUCCCGGCGCUACUCGUGAUCCCCUCCUCCAUCAGCUCCACUUCGCCGCAGCCGUCAGUCCGAAGGAGUAAGGGGUAGCAUGUCCACUUCCUCUACUCGUCGGCGCCCAGGUGGUUGCUGUACUCUUCGAGCUUCUUUGCCAUCAGUGGCCGCUCCGCCCACCAGCCAGAGUGGGGAGUCCGAUCAUUUGCUGCUCAAAAUCCGAUAACAAUCCGACAACAAUCGAAGGAGGAAUGCGCAACAAGCAAGUCUAUCAUCGACGGCAAGCAAUGGCAUGCUCCCAGCCCGCCGAGACUGAAUCAUUCGACACCAGUUCUCUGCACAACGUGGCUCGACGUGCAGCCCACUGACUCCACCGUAUACAUCCAGACAAUACGGUAUGGUGUACUCCCUCCAUCCGGAAAAGCUUGUUCCUCAAAUAAAUGUAUCUAGCAUCAAGUUAGUGCUAGAUACAUCCAUUUGAGGAAUAAGCUUGAGACAAGUUUUCUAGGACGGAAGGAGUACAAUUUAAUGCAUGAAGUAAGCCCAUCAAUUCGGUUUCAUUUUCUGAAUUUCUUUUGAACUUGUUGUCACUUAACUUUUACAUGUAUCUAGUUACGGUAGUACUUACGAGAUCAAGCUACUUCAUUUUUUAAUCGAAUUCUAGAACUUUUACAUAUCCGUAUUGCUGCCGCUCCAUACUUGUAUUUGAUAUUUCUUAUUAUGUGUGCACUAAACUUCUAAUACUAUUCACGAUCCAGCUUCUAGCUUUUUCUCUAUUAUGUGCUUCACUUCUACAAAAAGGGUUGGGUUAGAUAAAUAGGACAAAGAUGUUUGCUUUCUUUCCAGAAAUGAAAUGGUUGGACAUGUAGACGAUGUAAAUAAAGCUCUUCUCUUGUGUUGUUUGAAAAUAAAAUCGCACAAGUACGUGGUGGAAGUUUGUAUCAGUUUGGAGAAAAAAGAAACAAAGUUCAAAAAGAAAAAUCGUGAGUUCACCUUACAUAAAGUUUGUAAGUACAGAGAUAUCACCUUGAUGUAGUAUGUAAAUAUGUAUUGCAAAUUUGCAAUUCAAGAAUGGGUGUGUGUGUGUUGUAGUAUUUGCCUACAGAGUCGAUGUGUGUUUUUGUAGUGCUGGUAGUUGUAGUCUCCCGCGCUCUCAGCCGAUGUCAAGGCCGCAUGUGUGCCGUCCUCAGUCCAACCCCAUGGCAUCAGGGUGGUCGAGUUCAUCGCGACUAGCAGUCCAUGGCUGUCAGCUUCAACUUUAUUCCACCUAGGUGCUUAAACUUCUUUUUGGAUGUUUUUUGUAUGAAUAUGCAUUUUGGUUAUUAAAUUCAGUACAACGAAACACAUGAAUCCCCAAUGCGUACAAAAUUACUGAUUCUUUUAAACAGUUAGUAGAUUUCUCCAUUGGUUGGUCUACUUGUGUAAAUCUGUCAGUUCAUGACAAGUAACUUCUGAUGCUAGAAAUGUAGGAUGUUUGUGUGAAUGUUGCUUGUUUCAGAGAGAAAAAGAGUUUGUAGUUCCAUCACAUGAUGUACUGAACAACAUAAGCAUGGUGUACUGAACAACAUAAACAUGGUGUACUGAAUAAACAUACGCAUUCACAUAAACAUGCCAGCAACUCCUCUUGCUAUACUCGUUCUUGUACUUGUUUAUGUUCUUGUUUGGAACUGGUUUCUUAUCCUCCUAACAGCUUUUCUCGCAUUUCAGCUAAAUUUAGUUUCAACUAAAACCAGAGCUAAUGCAUUUGUGGCAUUGGAUGAGGUUGCUAGGAAGAUUUUCAUUAGAGAAUGCUUUGCUAGAAAAGCUUCUAUUGAUCUCUGUCCACGAGUGAUGCUGCCCCGCGUCCGGUCGACGACAUCCACGAGCGCUAGCGGCCUGUAUCCGGCAGCAAGAUGAAGGCGUACCCGUACCCGUACCCGUGCAAAAAAAUGACUCAAAUAUAGGAAACGAGAUCUCAAAUGCCCCAGAAAAUCAAACCAUAGGGUACAAUGGUGAUUUCUUACCGUGGAAAGAAAAUUCGUGGUGAAACGAUGAACUCAUAUUUUCAUUCAAACGAUAAUAUGUUAUUAGUUCAUAUAAAUGUUUUCAAAUAGCACACGGUUCACUCACAAAGCCGUGUGCCUACCAAACAGUGGCCGAUGCCCCCUGCUGCGUGCGCGAUCUGAGUCGUGCAUUCUGAUUGGCCAGAAUCCAAACCCAGGGAUCAUACGUCUACACUGUUGGAUGCUCCCACAUCGGACGACAAUCCUCAUCCCUUUCAUCCGCACAUACAGUUCCGGUUAGGAUUUGAUUUAUAUGCCAAAAUGCAUGGUAAAUGCCAAAUAUGGCUUAAAUAUAGCACAUGAGAUCUGAAAUACCCCAGCAAAUCAAACCUGUGGUAUAAUGGUGAUUGCUUAUCGUGGGAAAAAAUUAGAGGCGAAACAAUGAACUCACGUCUUCAUUUCAAAAUUAGUGUGUCUUCAUUUCAAAUGAAAUUAUGUUGUUUGUGCACACGAGCGCUUAGAGACAACCGUUUGCAUAGGCCUUUCUGCAUGGUGACCGGGGAUACUUUUCACCCUUUUCACCUAGGCCGCCAACACCCCCAACGCCCGUCUGUGUUUCACUCAAUUAGUCCAUCCAAUCUCCAUCGUCAGCUACCCUCCCCCAGAUCCAUAGCAGAACCCUUUUUGGCGCCGACGUGCUCAACCUGGCCGUGUGCCCGCUCUUGGGCGUCAACCCUACCUCCACUGUUGUUCCCAACAUGCGGCUGCCCGCGCCUCGCCGUCUUCGUUUGCUCGCUAGCCACCCUCGAGCAUAUCGAUCUUGUAACCCUUGCCUCUCAUGUGGUCCUGCCGGGUUUGCAUUAAGAAAUCUGUUAGUUACUGCUCUCCAUCGUAGUGAGGCAUACUUCCUCGCAAUCCCUCUUCCUAUUUCGUUUCGUAUGUUCACAAAUUGGCUAUAAAAUAACGAAGAGUCUAUAUAUGUUCAUUAUCUACCUUCCUAACUAGUACAUAUAAGUUGUAUUUGUUCCAAUAAGUUAUUGUUGAUUCACAGACCAUGGGCGCCCGAGUCACACAAACUUAACAAAUUAGCCGUACAUUUUCUAAAUUAUUGCAUGACAUGUGUUAGACAACUUGAUACCAAGUUGUUAGCUUUAUGCUUAUCCUCCUUUCCUGAGUUUCGCAUGUGUUCUCUGUAGAUGCCGAGUAGCAGCGACAUCAUUCAUGCUUCAGGCGAUGUAUCUUCAUCUGAUUCCGACAACCCUAGGUCUUCAGCAGAUGAUGAAGGAUCAAGUAAUCUGGAAUUGGAUAGAGCUGCAGAAAUUACCCUUCCGUUCAGGACACGGAGGAACGCUCCAAGAAAACCCACACACCAGCCUAAAGGUAUAUAUGAAGUAACCGGCAUCGAUUUAAAGUCUUGGGCUCCAACUACCAUUGUUGGCAGGGCAAGACUCAACAUGCAGGGGUUUCGGAAGGCUGACACAAAAACACGACAAAGGAUAGUCCGGGAGAUCAUGAAUCACUUCAAACGUUCCAAAGCAGUGGAGAAGGCAGGUGGAACACGUUGCACUGAAUAAGGCUAGGGAUGCUUGGAGAAACUGGAAGCACGUGUUAUACAAGAAGUACUUGAGUGAAGGCAAGGACCCAAUCCCCGCAUACCCCCAAAUUACAAAGGUAGACUGGACAAAAUUCAAAAGGGUUAGUGCAACUACAGAGUUUGCUAAGAAGAGUGCCAAGCAAUUGGAACUUCAGAAGAGGAACACACACACACACCGUAUGGGUGGUGGCAGGAUACUACAUCAUGAAACCGAUAUGGGACCAGGAGGACAAUGAAGUAGUAGUUGCGGGAAAUCGGCCUUUAGUGAAAUCAGGGGCAAACGUGCUAGAGACUACUUGCGGGCACAUGCAAGGAGGAGUGAUGAUGGAACUUAUUACUUUGAAAACUCAGAUGACGAGAAACUACAUCAUGUAAUGUUAAAGGCUUCCGAGAUCCCUGGAAGGUUCUAUAAGAACUCAAGGCCAUGUGACAUUCUGUCUGACGCUCUGGAAACAAGAGAGCCCCCUGGCCGUGCAAGGGGUAUAGGUGUUAAUGUCCCGCACAAGAGAACUUUCACACUCAGCAAAGAAGAGAGGCUCGGCAUGAAAAAAGCGAGGAGUGAAAUGAAGCAGAAUGAAUUGUAUGAAAGGUUGAGGAAUGACAUGUAUCCGUCUGUUCAAAAGGAAAUUGAGGAGUCAAUGAUGAUGCAGAAGACUCUAACACUGACAAAUAGCCAGUAGAUGGGAGGGGAGGCGGGCAUGGAGGAUGCUGGUUGUUGCGCGGCAUCACCACACAAGAGGAGUUGUGCAUCAGCUGACCCUAGCGACACUGAGACUGCGGCUUCUCAUGAUGACGAUAUAUCUGAUCUAUCUGGAAUGAGAGACAGACUGAAGGGCGUGCUUACACAUUAUGAAGGUAUAUUAAAAUGUGCAACAACCUGGGUUUACCCACCCUUCUUGGAAGAGGGCCUCCAUACCAUUGAAGUCGGGUUGUGUGAAGUACUACGUGACUGAAGUAAAGCCUGGAUUCAAUGAAUUUGCCCUGAAGAAUGUCCUAGGGGACUUUGAUGAGCAUAGGAUCUUGGGAGAAACACUGUUACAUCACAUCCAGUGCCCACGAAAGGAAAUAGACUUCAUGGAUGAGAUCCCUGAAGCCCCGCCAAGAGCAACUAAUGUCGCCCCUCAACCGGUGACACUCUCCUUGCCACAACAGCUCUCGCAUGCUUCCCCCAAGGAACCUAAUACUCGUAAUCCGACGGCUGAUGCAUCAACCUGUGAUCAACCCACCCGACUUUGUGCCGUACAGGCCAUGUCAUCGUCCGCCCUAGAGUAGCCAGUGGCAAGGCCUACAACUGUUGAAGACGCACCACGGGUUCAGAUGCCGGCCGCUGAAGCAGCAAGGGGAGACCUAGCUGCAACACAUGCUCAGCACACCAACCUGGUGGAACGGACUACUAAGUAGUCUGAUGCUUCAGAACCGCCUGCUGAGCAGUCUAUAGGUCCAGAACCGACUGCACAUCAGUGCAUCGGCCCGCAGCCGCGUGAUCAGCAUAUCAAUGCUUCAGCACUGCCUGCUCUGCAAACCAAUGUGUUGGCACGACCUCCUUGGCACACCGACAAGUUGGCACCACUUGCGUAGAAACCCGACAUAGCUUCAACGCAUGGUCAGCAGUCCGAUGCCUCUACUCCUACAGCCCAAAGUCUGUCAUAGCAACACUGCCAGCCUAGUAGUCCGGCAUAGCUAAACCGUCUGCUAAGCAGUUCGUCAAAGCUUUACCGUCUGCUCUGCAGUCUCCCUUUCAGCCAUCCAGACCUUGGACCAUAAGUGCUUCAAGUACCAAGAAGGAAGCGGGCAAAAAGGCUGCAACCGCGAGGAAGCGCGCCCAGAGAGUGAAGAGGAAAGAGAAUGAUUGCCUCUUACUUAAAGCACUCAUCGCCCAGAACCAAAUUAACAACAAGUUGUUCGAAUCGGAAAGUAAUAUUAUGCCUGACGGCAUGAAUGAUGCAGAAAUAGAUUUGGUGCUUGCUAAAAAUAAAGCUAACGUACUUGAAGUACACAAUUACGUCCAUGGCCAGCCAUUUAUUUUUGGUGAAUACUUUGAUGAGUGCAACUCCAGUUGCCGCGAGUUACAUAAAUAUUGCAUGGAUCAAAAGUUAGCAGGUCAUCAUGUUCUGCUAGUCUGCUACAAUAGAGAUCAUUUCUAACACGAUGCUGGUUUGAUCAAUGUGAAUUUCGAGGACUUACAUCUCUUCUUCAACUUCAACGAGCUCGAUGCCACUCAUGUUAGAUGUCUGAUUUUGGGAUUGAACGUGCAAAGAAGAAAAAGAGGGAGUGUGUAUUUCAUAGAUCCUCCAUUAGCAAAUGGUACAGCAUUACAUGGUAAGGAUGAACGGGAGUGGGCCAUUAACACGGUCGCCCGUAUCUUCGAAAACACGUCCCAUGCAAAAUCAUUUAUGUGGCCAUAUCAUGAACGGUAAGUCAAAUAAAUAACCACGCAUACACUGACUGUCUUUCAGAUUUCGACAUAAUUCGUAAGUUCAUGGCUUUCUUAAUAUAUAGCAAUCACUGGAUCUUGGUAUUCAUUGUUCUAAACAAGAACACACUUUACUACAUGGAUUCUCUCAGAGUGUCAACAAACGCUCAGGAUCUGACACAUCUUCAGCAAUUCAUUGAUAGAUAUUGAAUUCUAUGAUGUUGAAAUUAAUUUGCAUUCAUAUCUGGUUCAAUAAUUGAUGUUGUCAAAAUCCAUCUUCAUUUAUAGUGUGAUCGCAUUGUGGAAAACUAAAUCAGGAACCUGUUCAAGAGGGAACUACUCUGCAUCACGAGAUCAUUUCUCUGUGUCCUCAGCAACAAGCAGGGACCAACCUUUGUGUAUGUUUGUAGACACAUGAUCUUCAUCUGCAAAUAUGCUGAUAGUUAUGAAGAUGCUUGCAAAUUAGUACCACUCAUCUUAGAGGACCCCUGAACCGCUCCCCGCUGGUGAAUUGCUGAUGGUUCGAAGAUUUAUCAGUGACUUCUUCCUGAAUCACUACAUCAAUCCCAC